rnacentral:rRNA from 1 species
GACGAACGCUGGCGGCGUGCUUAACACAUGCAAGUCGAACGGAAAGGCCUGCUUUCCCUUGUGGAUUGCGGGUACUCGAGUGGCGAACGGGUGAGUAACACGUGAGUGAUCUGCCCCCAACUUGGGUAUAAGCCUGGGAAACUGGGUCUAAUUCCCGAUAGGACUGCAGGGUGGUGCCGGUGGUGGAAAACGAUUUUCUAGUGGGUGGGGAUGAGCUCGCGGCCUAUCAGCUGGUUGGUGGGGUAAUGGCCUACCAAGGCGGCGACGGGUAGCCGGCCUGGGAGGGUGGACGGCCACAUUGGGACUGAGAUACGGCCCAGACUCCUACGGGAGGCAGCAGUGGGGAAUAUUGCACAAUGGGCGGAAGCCUGAUGCAGCGACGCCGCGUGGGGGAUGACGGCCUUCGGGUUGUAAACUCCUUUCGACCGCGAGGAAGCCACCUGGUUGGAAGGGUGGUGACGGUAGUGGUAGAAGAAGCACCGGCUAACUACGUG